rnacentral:rRNA from 1 species
CCUACGGGUGGCAGCAGUGGGGAAUAUUGCACAAUGGGGGAAACCCUGAUGCAGCGACGCCGCGUGAGUGAAGAAGUAUCUCGGUAUGUAAAGCUCUAUCAGCAGGGAAGAAAAUGACGGUACCUGACUAAGAAGCCCCGGCUAACUACGUGCCAGCAGCCGCGGUAAUACGUAGGGGGCAAGCGUUAUCCGGAUUUACUGGGUGUAAAGGGAGCGUAGACGGCGCUGCAAGUCCGGAGUGAACGCGCAUGGCUUAACCAUGGUACUGCUCUGGAAACUGUGGAGCUAGAGUGCGGGAGGGGCAGGCGGAAUGCCUAGUGUAGCGGUGAAAUGCGUAGAUAUUAGGAGGAACACCGGCGGCGAAGGCGGCCUGCUGGACCGUAACUGACGUUGAGGCUCGAAAGCGUGGGGAGCAAACAGGAUUAGAUACCCGAGUAGUC